rnacentral:rRNA from 1 species
GAUACCGGGCAGAUGUCAGUAACUUGAACUAUUCAUCAGAAUUAUCAGUGACUUGUGUUGUAACCUUACAGACGCUUCC